rnacentral:tRNA from 1 species
GCGAAAAUAGCUCAGUUGGUUAGAGCAUCUGACUGUGGCUCAGAAGGUCGCCGGUUCGAAUCCGGUUUUUCGCCCCA